AAGGCUUCAAUCUGCCGAGGAAGACAAGCAACAAGUCCAAUGACAACAUCAUCUAGAUAAUAUAGACCAUCUAUUUUAGCUAAGCUUGCAGGGGAGACACAACAACAUAUAUAGUAAGAGUAGCGAGAGAAAAUGCAAACGCAAAAGCGAUUUCGGCAUGGUCAUCAUCUAAAUCUUUUUUUGUAAGGAUAUUUUCUUUCUUUGUUUUUUU
rnacentral:lncRNA from 1 species